rnacentral:lncRNA from 1 species
UGGGGAUUUUUGGGGUAAAUUUGGGGAUUUUGGGGGUAAAUUGGGAAAUCUGGGAAAAUUUGGGGGAUUUUGGGGAGAUUUUUGGGGAUUUUGGGGUUGAAUUUUGGGGGGAUUUCUGAGGAUUUCGGUCAAAUUUUGCCGGAAUUUUGCCUGAAUUUGAUCAAAUUUAUCACAAAUCCCUGAAUUUCCCCGAUUUUGCCCACAACCCCCCAAAUCCUUCCCCAAAUUCCCCCCAAAAUUCCCGCCAAAAUCCCGAAUUUUCCCCUCAUUUCCCGCCAAGUCCCCGCGAGGGGGCGUGGCUUCCUCCAAGCCACGCCUCCUCUCUCUAAGCCACGCCCCUUCACGCCAAGCCCCGCCCCCAGGACCCGCCGGAAGUGGCGCGGUUGAAGCGAUACCUCCGAGCCGCCGGGGGGCGCCCCAACUACAAGCAGCUCUUCCGGAAGUGCCGCAGCCGCCGCGAGGUGCUGGAGGCGCUGAGGGGAGCCCUGCGCGACCUGGGGCUGCGCGGCACCCCCUCCCUGGCCCGGUGCCGCCCGCCGCCCGCAGGCAAAAAACCAACUCCGCCCCGCCUCCAACAUCUUACCCGGUAAAAACCCCCCAAAAAAAACCCCAAAAACCCCCAAAUUUCCCCAAAUUCACCAUUUCUAACCUCUUCCCUUCCAUCCCCAGCGAGAUCCCGGCGGAGAAACCCCGAAAAUGCCCCAAAAUCGCCCCCGAAAUCGCCCCUUCCCCCCCCGGAUUGGUCGCGGCUCCGCGGCGUCGUCAGCUCGGACAGCGAGUGAAGGGAAUUUGGGACUUUUUUUUUUGGGGGGAAUUCUCGGGGUUUUGGGGUUUUUUUUUUUUUAACGGGCUCGGUGUUUGCGUUGUAAAGUUGUUGUAAAAAUUAAAAAGGUUGUUGUAAAAAUGGCUGGGAAAAUCCAUAAAAUGGCCCAAAAGUCGAUGUGAAAUUCCCUAAAUUCAGCCCAGAAAUGGCCCCAAAAUGGCUCAAAAAUACCCCAAAAAUCGCCCUAAAAAUGCCCCAAAAAUUCCCC